GUGGGAGGGGGCUUGCUCCCGAUGGCUGUGUGUCAGCCAGCCUAUUCUUUACUGACCCACCGCUAUCGGGAGCAAGCCCCCUCCCAC
rnacentral:misc_RNA from 1 species